GAGACAGCAGCUGUCAGUUCUCUAGGAAAGAACCACACAUUCACACACUGUCCUUCUCUCCUCGGUCCUUGGAUCCUUGUAGCAACCAGUUUCGUAUUUGGAUAAGAACUUUGAUAUACUCGGUGAUGAAGAUAAAUAGUUCUUUUAGUUAAAACCUUUUGUAUAAUAGCUGUUUACGUUUUCCAUUUGUCUGCUUUUAAAGUUUGGAUUUCUGUUUUGUAUUUUCAGCUUUAGAGCUCCGUUUUACUUUUGGUAUUUAUAGCAGUAAGUUAGCCGUCGAGAUUUGUUUUAAUUAUUUAGCUCCGGCGUUUUCGCUGGUUAGAGCUUGUAACACUGUGUAUGAUGUGUGUAAACUCCCACGGAUUACCAGCAAAAGGAGACCCAAGUCUAAAGGUAACGUUUGAGAAGAAGCCCUCUGAGUCGGAGAGUCUCAGUAACCCGUGGAGAACUACAUCGCUGUUAGUAAAGUGUUGUGGAGAUAAAGUAAACAACGCUGAUCUAGCCACUGGCUAGCGGACGAGCGUGUUGGGAGACAGCAGCCUGCAGGAAGAGAGGAGACUUGAGUAGAAGUACUUUGGAAAGGACACGUUGGGACUGGAUCGGGAGUUCUGGCACUAGGAAAAGACGGAUGAACAUCUUGAGAGGCAGAAAACAACAGCUGCGCUCUAAAACAACUGUCACGGGCUGACAGUUACUAUUAACCAGCGGAGGAGAAGCACCUCCGUUCUACUGCUGCUUUGUUCAGACGAUUUCAUCUGAGAACGGCUCGGUGGAGAAGCAAUCUGCCGUAUCUUAUUAGUAUACAAGCGGGUGUUAACACUUAGGAGAAGCUGCUGCCGGUGCUGUUCCAUCUGGGAAGGGUCAAAGGUCAACCAGAGCUCAUCAUUCUACAGAUAAAAUCACAAAACCAUUAAGAACACUGCCAAUAUUCAAAGCUAUGAACCUCCCAGCAGGGUCACCCUGAGGUCCGCUAAAGUCUGGAACAAACCAGGUCAUGAAACAGAACCAUGAUCCAGACCCAGCAGGAUCAAGGUUCAGUCAGGGUCCAAACCAGAACCUGGCUGAGAUGCUGUGGUGGGACCUUCAGACAGCUGAAUGUCAGCAAACCUAAAGCAGAGUGGACCAGAUACCGUCCAGAACCGAUUGAGAAACUGUCAGACAGAACCUGAGUCACAUCUGCUGAAGGAGGUUCUGUUGGAUCUCGUUUCAGGACCCAGAAGAACCUAAUGUUUCCGUUCUCAAUAAUUUGGUAAAAGCCGGAUAAUUUUUAUUUUUCCUGAUGAAUAAAUAAUUUGUUUAACAAACUAAAAAUAAAACUGGCUCAAACUGGAUAAGUCAGCUGGUCAGCAGGGGGCAGAGCCCUCCUGAAGGAGGAUCUGAUUAAAGUCCCUCUAAGAUCUGUACAAUCAGCCACAAACCCGAUGUCAGACACACAAAACUCUGCAGGUUCCACGCUGCCGAACACAAACCAGGUGUAAGUGUCUGCUAGGAUCACACACCUGCUUUGUUUAUGAUCAAAUCUAUAAGAUUAAUCAUAUCCCAAAGGUAAAUGGGUGUAACACACACACACACACACACGUCUUUCUAUCAUAGUGAGGACCCUCCAUUGACUUCCAUUCAUUUUUAUGAUUUCAUCAUGCCUAACCCAUAACCAGCGCUGAUCUAUUCUUAACCUUAACUAAAACUGAAUUCACACCAUACCUCAA